rnacentral:rRNA from 1 species
GAUGAACGCUGGCGGCGUGCCUAAUACAUGCAAGUCGAGCGAACGGACGAGAAGCUUGCUUCUCUGAUGUUAGCGGCGGACGGGUGAGUAACACGUGGAUAACCUACCUAUAAUACUGGGAUAACUUCGGGAAACCUGAUCUAAUACCGGAUAAUAUUUUGAACCUCAUGGUUCAAAAGUGAAAUACGUUCUUUCUGUCUCUUAUAGAUGGAUCCUCGCUGCAUUAGCUAGUUGUUAAGGUAACGGCUUACCAAGGCAACGAUGCAUAGCCGACAUGAGAGGGAGAUAGGAGACAAGGGAACGGAGACAAGGUACAGAAAACUACGGGAGGAAGCAGAAGGGAAUAUGCCGCAAUGGGCGAAAGAAUGACGGAGAAACGCCGAGUGAGAGAUGAAGGUCUACGGAUCGUAAAACUCUGUUAUUAGGGAAGAAAAGAUGUGUAAGUAAAUGUGCACAGAUUGACGGUAACUAAUAAGAAAGCAACGGCUAACUACGUG